rnacentral:rRNA from 1 species
GACGAACGCUGGCGGCGUGCCUAAUACAUGCAAGUCGAACGCAUUUUCUUUCACUGUGGCUUGCUACACCGAAAGAAAAUGAGUGGCGAAAGGUUGAGUAACACGUGUUUAACCUGCCCAUCAGCGGGGGAUAACACUUUGAAGCAGGUUCUAAUACCGCAUAAUUCCAUUUACUGCAUGAUAGUUGGAUGAAUGGCGCUUUUGCGGCACUUUUGGAUGGACUCGCGGUGCAUUAGCUAGUUGGUGGGGUAACGGCCUACCAAGGCUGCGAUGCAUAGCAGAACUGAGAGGGUGAUCGGCCACACUGGGACGGAGACCCGGCCCAGACUCCUACGGGAGGCAGCAGUAGUGAAUCUUCGGCAAUGGACGCAAGUCUGACCGAGCAACGCCGCGUGAGUGAAGAAGGUUUUCGGAUCGUAAAACUCUGUUGUUAGAAAAGAACAAGGAUGAGAGUGGAAAGUUCAUCCCUUGACGGUAUCUAACCAGAAAGCAACGGCUAACUACGUG